GUUUGCUCUGAAUCAGCUGCUGACUCGAGCGGUCGUGCUGCAGCACUCACCGGCGGAAUGUAGGACCUGUUUGGAAAAGCUACAAUAGUCGGAGAAGUGGGUGGAACAGAGAACCUGCUUUCUGGAACGUUCCAGAACAUUUUGGAACCAGUCAUAAAAGACAUCCGACGUACACUUCUGACGUUUUGGGUUCAUUUCUGGUAACUGUCUGUUAAUUUGUUAACUCAGUAUUAUACAUGUACCAUGUAAUGGUAUGUAAUGCACAAGUAAAACAGAUUAGCUUGUACAAGUUGUCAACACAACACAGUGCAUGAUCCACAGAAAGUACCAUGUCAGACUUCAUAAGAAACAAAAGUUAAACAAAACUUUUAUAUAAAUUCAUUGAUACAUUGAAAUUGAAGAUUCAAUGAUACAUUUAUACAGUGUAUUAUCUUUUUUUAAUUUUCAGUUUUUUAGCCUCCUUUGUCCUAGUCCUCAUCAGUGAACAUACUUUCAAGGAACUUUAUAAAUAUAAUAAAUAAGUGAAUAACAGAACAACAACAACAAAUAUAAACCAUUUUUGUAAUAUUUAAUAAAUAAACCAAGUUUCACUUCAUAUAUAUUCAACACAUCAUAAAGCUCUUUUCUAAUAGAGACAGAGAAACCAAAAACACAAAAACAAUAUAAUACACCUGUUUACCUGCAUCUGCCCUUGCUGUUCUUCUAAAGUGUGUCUAAUGUGAUAAGAGUAAUUCACUUCAUUGACACAAAUGAUGACUGCAUGGAAAGUGAAAACUCGGUUAUAGAGUCUUCUGGAUUCAACAAAGACAGAUUUCAAAAAUGGACAUCACAAUGUAGGUUUCAGGUGCUCUGUAACUCGAGAGUUACUCUGUAACUUUCCUUACAACUUUGCUAGGAAGUUUCUAGAAUGCAACAAUCAGGUUCUGGAAGUCAAAAUCCCAUUCACUUUCUCCAUAGGGCAAUGGAUUUUCAACAAUAACAUAUAAACCUUUAAAGACAGACCUACUUUAAACUAUGAGUUUGCUAAUCGAUUGUAUAUAUUUUUGUUGAAGCCACCAGCCCACAUUAUGUAAACUUGUUUUUGUUUGUUUUUAUAAUUUUUUUUAAUUCCUGGUAAAAAACUACAUUCAGUAAAUAUUUAGAAAAUCAGAGUACACCAAUCCAAAGUCCACUCCCAAGAUAUACAGUGAAUGAUGCAGAGAUAUUUUUUUUGGUUAUGACAUUUGCAAUGCCUCAUUAGAAUACAUUUCUUUCACUUUUGUAUCAUUGUGUUCAUCUGAUUUUCAAACACUCUUUACUUAAAAUCAAACAUUUUGUAAUGUUUGCGAUUCACCUUUUAAAGGUGCAGUAUGUGAUAUUGAUAUCUAGCAGUUGACAUGGGUACUGCGAUCCAAAUUCAAAAGAUUGCAGGUUGCCAGAUUGAGAACCAAGGCUUGAAUGCCAAGGCUUUUUUGGUAGGGUGGAAUCUGCGAUCUCUGAUCCAGUUUGUUUGCUCGCUUCCAUGCCUGCAGUACUGAGAAGUUUUCCGUUAACUGGCAACCAAGUUGUGUCGAAAUACUAUUGGGUAAAUUAGCAGUGGGCGGAAUCACACAGACCAAAAAAAAAAAAAAA